GCCUCUUUAGCUCAGUGGCAGAGCACUGGUCUCGUAAACCAGGUGUCGUGAGUUCAAUCCUCAUAGGAGGCA